rnacentral:rRNA from 1 species
AUUGAACGCUGGCGGCAUGCCUUACACAUGCAAGUCGAACGGUAACAGGUCUUCGGAUGCUGACGAGUGGCGAACGGGUGAGUAAUGCAUCGGAACGUGCCCAGUAGUGGGGGAUAGCCCGGCGAAAGCCGGAUUAAUACCGCAUACGACCUGAGGGGGAAAGGGGGGGGAUCGCAAGACCUCUCGCUAUUGGAGCGGCGGAUGUCAGAUUAGCUAGUUGGUGGGGUAAAGGCCUACCAAGGCAACGAUCUGUAGUUGGUCUGAGAGGACGACCAGCCACACUGGGACUGAGACACGGCCCAGACUCCUACGGGAGGCAGCAGUGGGGAAUUUUGGACAAUGGGCGCAAGCCUGAUCCAGCAAUGCCGCGUGCAGGAAGAAGGCCUCCGGGUUGUAAACUGCUUUUGUCAGGGAAGAAAUCUUCUGGGUUAAUACCCCGGGAGGAUGACGGUACCUGAAGAAUAAGCACCGGCUAACUACGUGCCAGCCGCCGCAGUAACAC